rnacentral:rRNA from 1 species
CCCUUAGAUGUUCUGGGCAGCACGCGCGCUACAAUGGUCUUCGCAAACGGAUGCAUUCUCGAAGGAGAAUGCCAAUCUUGGAAUCUAUGCCUUGGUCGGGACAGUUGCUUGCAAUUUUUCGACUCGAACCAGGAAUUCCUUGUAAUCGUGAUUCAUCACAUCACGAUGAAUACGUCCCUGACCUUUGUACACACCGCCCGUCGCUCCUACCGAUCGAAGAGUUAGGUGAAUUGUUUUGAUCGAUAAGAUUUGACUAUGGUCAACUCUCGUUGUGAAAUUCUGUGAAUCUGACUGUUUAGAGGAAGGAAAAGUCGUAACA